rnacentral:rRNA from 1 species
UACCUGCAGCUCAAGUGGUGGCCGCUAUUAUUGGGCCUAAAACGUCCGUAGCCGGUUUAUUAAAUGCCUGGGUAAAUCGUGUAGCUUAACUAUACGAAUUCCGGGUAGACUGGUAAACUUGAGACCGGGAGAAGUUAGAGGUACUCCUGGGGUAGAGGUGAAAUUCUGUAAUCCUAGGGGGACCACCAGUGGCGAAGGCGUCUGACUAGAACGGGUCUGACGGUGAGGGACGAAGCCCUGGGGCGCAAACCGGAUUAGAUACCCGGGUAGUCCAGGGUGUAAACGCUACUUGCUUGAUGUUAGUCGGGCUCCGAGCCCGAUUAGUGUCGGAGAGAAGUUGUUAAGCAAGCUGCCUGGGAAGUACGGUCGCAAGACUGAAACUUAAAGGAAUUGGCGGGGAGCACAGCAACGGGUGGAGCGUGCGGUUU